UAUAUCAAGAACAAUUCUUCAAUGAUCAAAUGAAGAUCAUUCAUGAAACUAGGGAAGAACUGGAAUCCAAGUUUGAGAAGAUGCUUCAAGAGAAAUGACAGAAGGUUAAACAAUCAUCCAAUAGUCCAAAUAGCUCUUCUAUAGUGGGGGAUGAAAUCACAAAGUUCAUAAAAACUCAAGACAAGGAAAUGAAAGAGUUUGAAACUGAGAGGGAGAAUCUG